rnacentral:tRNA from 1 species
GUUUUUAUAGUUUAUGUUAAUUAGAAUAUAGUGUUGAAGUUACUAUGGAAAUUUUUAUUUAAAAACA